GAUGAACGCUGGCGGCGUGCCUAAUACAUGCCAGUCGAGCGAACAGAUGAGGAGCUUGCUCCUCUGACGUUAGCGGCGGACGGGUGAGUAACACGUGGAUAACCUACCUAUAAGACUGGGAUAACUUCGGGAAACCGGAGCUAAUACCGGAUAAUAUAUUGAACCGCAUGGUUCAAUAGUGAAAGACGGUUUUGCUGUCACUUAUAGAUGGAUCCGCGCCGCAUUAGCUAGUUGGUAAGGUAACGGCUUACCAAGGCAACGAUGCGUAGCCGACCUGAGAGGGUGAUCGGCCACACUGGAACUGAGACACGGUCCAGACUCCUACGGGAGGCAGCAGUAGGGAAUCUUCCGCAAUGGGCGAAAGCCUGACGGAGCAACGCCGCGUGAGUGAUGAAGGUCUUCGGAUCGUAAAACUCUGUUAUUAGGGAAGAACAAAUGUGUAAGUAACUAUGCACGUCUUGACGGUACCUAAUCAGAAAGCCACGGCUAAUUACGUG
rnacentral:rRNA from 1 species